CACCAGGCAACGAACAGCUCAGGGAGGAUCAUCGGGGAGGAUGCACACAAUGCUUACAUCUUUUGUCCUGAGUCACUGAAUUUCAGGAGGCAACCGAAGAUUCCACCAGCUUCAGAUUCUGAAUCUGCAACCCAACCCAUCUCUCCAGUGAGCAGAGUUAAACUGCACCCCUGGGAGGAAGUGAGACUAGAAAUAAUAGAAGUGGAAAUCAGAAUUGGCAUAGAGAUCAUGAACAAAGCCAAUUGAGAGCCACAGAUUUGCCACUUCUGUAAAUAUUUACAGACAGAAUAUUAUUCAACUCAAGCUAAAGUGAAAACACCAAUGAUGCUUGAAGCCUCUUUUGGCCUUAGGUGUGAUCAGAGCCCUCAGUGACCAGGACCUUCAUAUUCACGUGAGACUGGUUUUGAACAAAUGCUUUUGCAAGAAGCACAGGGCGUGCUGCGUGGAGGAAGUACAAUGACGAUGGGGUUCGUUCUUCUUGGAAUGAUCAAGGCUUCAACAGUACGUGAACCGAAAACUUCUGGAAAGCUGGUUUUAGAAAAGGCAGAGGAACCAGAAAUCAAAUUGCCAAAUCUGUUGGAUCAUCAAAAAAGCAAGAGAGUUCCAGAAAAAUAUCUACUUCUGCUUUAUUGACUGUGCCAAAGCCUUUGACUGUGUGGAUCACAACAAACCGUGGAAAAUUCUCCAAGAGAUGGGAAUACCAGAACACCUGACCUGCCUCCUGAGAAAUCUGUAUGCAGGUCAAAAAGCAACAGUUAGAACUGGACAUGGAACAACAGAUUGGUUCCAAAUCUGGAAAGGAGUAUGUCAAGGCUGUAUGUUGUCACCCUGCUUAUUUAACUUCUAUGCAGAGUACAUCAUGCGAAAUGCUGGGCUGAAUGAAGCACAAGCUGGAAUCAAGACUGCUGGGAGAAAUAUCAAUAACCUCAGAUAUGCAGAUGACACCACCAUUAUGG
ensembl:lncRNA